rfam:Triticum aestivum genome assembly, contig: Triticum_aestivum_CS42_TGACv1_scaffold_290232_4AL
CAUAUACUCCCUCCGUUCGAAAAUACUUGUCAUCAAAAUGAACAAAAAAGAAUGUAUCUAGAACUAAAAUACAUCUCCUUUUAUUUAUUUUGAUGACAAUUUUUUCCGGAUGAAGGGAGUGCUUU